UCCUAGUACGGCGAGUGAGAGGAAGAGCUCAAAGUUGGAACCUGUUUGGCCUAGCUAAACCGGAUUGUAGACUGUAGAAGUGUUUUCCAGGCAAGCCGAGUAAAUAAGUCCUUUGGAACAGGGCAUCAUAGAGGGUGAGAAUCCCGUCUUUGGCUUGAGCAUUUGCCUUUUGUGAUACGCUUUCAAAGAGUCAGGUUGUUUGGGAAUGCAGCCUAAAUUGGGUGGUAAAUCUCACCUAAAGCUAAAUAUUGGCGAGAAACCGAUAGCGAACAAGUACCGUGAGGGAAAGAUGAAAAGAACUUUGAAAAGAGAGUUAAACAGUAUGUGAAAUUGUUAAAAGGGAACCGUUUGGAGCCAGACUGGCUUGUCUGUAAUCAAUCUAGGCUUCGGCCUGGAUGCACUUGCAGGCUAUGCCUGCCAACGACAAUUUGACUUGAGGGAAAAAACUAGGGGAAAUGUGGCCCACUUGUGGGUGUUAUAGUCCCUUAGAAAAUACCUUGGGUUGGAUUGAGGAACGCAGCGAAUGCUUAUUGGCGAGUUUUCCAGGAAGGUUUUCUGAGGUACUACGGUAUCAAGGUUGAUCUUUUUGGUUAUACUUCUAUUCGCUUAGGUUGUUGGCUUAAUGACUCUAAAUGACCCGUCUUGAANNNACGGACC
rnacentral:rRNA from 1 species